AUGUGGUGAUGCCAACGUUUGAGUGCAAAAUGAGAACUUAAGAGGGGAGUUGACGUGACGCGUGCUGAUUGGGUGUGUGUAAGAGAGGUCACUCCCCUAGGAGAGGAGUGUCCCUCUCACCCUAAAUCCUUUACAUGCUUUUAUGGUUUUUCCAGAGAUAACUGUAAAUUGCAGUUUACAAACACGUAAACUGAAGUUUACACUAUUUUAUUGGUUCUUGCAUAAACAAAAGUAAAUUUCUUUGUUGUUUACUAUUAUAAAUAUAAAUUGCAGUUUCACGAAAUCAGUAAAACUUUUAAUAAACUAAUUUCUUAUGUUCUUUUAUUCUUUUACUCUUUGAAUUAUUUAUCACUUAGUAUUUUUUUAUUAUUUAUGUAGUUUCUCUUACUUUUGACAAAUAACAAGGACUUUCACGUAAUUAACUCUUAUAAUUUAACAGAGUUUUUCUUUUUCUUUUAUUAUUUAACUACACUUUUUUUAUUAUUUAACUAAAUAAAUUUUGAAAUGGUAAGUUUGGCUUGAUUCCGUACAACGAAACGUAGAUAAAAAUACGAUUUGAGUUCGGCUUGGUUUAACACAAUGAAAGGUAUAUAAAAUAUAUGUCGUGAUGUAAAUUAAAUCUUUUAAAAUAUAUUACUUUUCACACAACGAA
rnacentral:lncRNA from 1 species